rnacentral:lncRNA from 1 species
UUGGCAGUAGUGGAAAACUUGAACUGACUGCCUUGCAACACUCUGCAAGCUUGUUUGGGCUGCAUCUUCAUCACUGUUGGGUACUGACUGGCUGGAAGUUACUGUACAAGGCGCGUUGCAGCGGAGAUCUCCACAAGCUGCUUGCCUGCUUGAGCUCUCAAUUACCAAGCCAAGUUAAAGAUCACAAGAACAGGUGGGCAAGCUUGUCGAGCUGCGUGCUUCAGUGUCACCGCUGAAACUUGGCUGCCUUGCUUGCCAUCCCUUCUGUAUCGGCUGGUUUCAGUUGGGGUUUUGCUGUUAUGCAGUGGCUUUGAUGUUGAAGAAAACUGAUUAAAAGGGGAUGCAACAGGUGUAAUACAGAAGAUCACUUACCUCUGGAUAACUCUCCUUGUUGUCGGCCUUGCAUCCACUGGACCCAGCUGGUGCUCUGCUGCGUGGUACGUAUGACCUGGACGCACAGUACCGAAGGCGAGAGACUUGUUCCCAACCUGUGGGCUGCGCCUGGAACGCUUUGUUGCAUGCCGCAAUCGCUUGCAUAUGCCUUGGCUUCGAGCAUCAAGCAGG